GACGAACGCUGGCGGCGUGCCUAACACAUGCAAGUCGAACGGAACUGCUUCGAAGGAUUUCUUCGGAAUGACAUUGAUUCAGUUUAGUGGCGGACGGGUGAGUAACGCGUAAGCAACCUGCCCUUCAGAUGGGGACAACAGCUGGAAACGGCUGCUAAUACCGAAUACGUUCUUUUUGUCGCAUGGCAGAGGGAAGAAAGGGAGGCUCUUCGGAGCUUUCGCUGAAGGNGGACUUGCGUCUGAUUAGCUAGUUGAGGGUAACGGCCCGACCCAAAGGCGACGAUCAGUAGCCGGUCUGAGAGGAUGAACGGCCACAUUGGGACUGAGACACGGCCCAGACUCCUACGGGAGGCAGCAGUGGGGAAUCUUCCGCAAUGGACGAAAGUCUGACGGAGCAACGCCGCGUGAA
rnacentral:rRNA from 1 species